rnacentral:rRNA from 1 species
UACGAAGGGGGCGAGCGUUGUUCGGAAUUAUUGGGCGUAAAGAGCUCGUAGGCGGUUUGUCGCGUCUGCUGUGAAAACCUAAGGCUCAACCUUGGGCUUGCAGUGGGUACGGGCAGGCUAGAGUGCGGUAGGGGUGACUGGAAUUCCUGGUGUAGCGGUGGAAUGCGCAGAUAUCAGGAGGAACACCGAUGGCGAAGGCAGGUCACUGGGCCGCAACUGACGCUGAGGAGCGAAAGCGUGGGGAGCGAACAGG